GCUACGACAAAGAUGAUUAUCCAGACAUCCCCAACGUCAAAGCAGCAGUAUCUUUGUCCUCAGCAUCCUUAUUUUCCACUGGGCUUUGUGGACAGGAA